rnacentral:rRNA from 1 species
CAGCAGCCGCGGUAAUACGUAGGUCCUGAGCGUUGUCCGGAUUUAUUGGGCGUAAAGCGAGCGCAGGCGGUUAGAUAAGUCUGAAGUUAAAGGCUGUGGCUUAACCAUAGUACGCUUUGGAAACUGUUUAACUUGAGUGCAAGAGGGGAGAGUGGAAUUCCAUGUGUAGCGGUGAAAUGCGUAGAUAUAUGGAGGAACACCGGCGGCGAAAGCGGCUCUCUGGCUUGUAACUGACGCUGAGGCUCGAAAGCGUGGGGAGCAAACAGGAUUAGAUACCCGAGUAGUCCCUGUCUCUUAUACA